AGGGAAUAUUGCGCAAUGGAGGAAACUCUGACGCAGCGACGCCGCGUGAGCGAUGAAGGUCUUCGGAUCGUAAAGCUCUGUCCUUGGGGAAGAAGGUCUUCGGACUUGACGGUACCCAUGGAGGAAGCCCCGGCUAACUACGUGCCAGCAGCCGCGGUAAUACGUAGGGGGCAAGCGUUGUCCGGAAUUAUUGGGCGUAAAGGGUGCGUAGGCGGCCUUUUAAGUCAGAUGUGAAAGCCCACGGCUCAACCGUGGGAUUGCAUUUGAAACUGGAGGGCUUGAGUAUCGGAGAGGGUAGUGGAAUUCCCAGUGUAGCGGUGAAAUGCGUAGAUAUUGGGAGGAACACCAGUGGCGAAGGCGACUACCUGGACGAUUACUGACGCUGAUGCACGAAAGCUAGGGGAGCAAAC
rnacentral:rRNA from 1 species